rfam:Microvirga aerilata strain BSC39 scf7180000028448, whole genome shotgun sequence.
AGACUGGAUAUUGUGCCUUUGAGUGGCUAUAUCACAGAUGUCAGGUUCGCCUGACUAUGAUCGUAGAGGCAGAGUGGAAUAGGCGUUUAGGACGCGGGUUCGAUUCCCGCCGCCUCCACCACAAGCACACCGGCCGUCCAGGUACCGCAAGACGGGUUUUGGGCGGAAUGGCCUUUCGUUGAGGCCAUGCCGCUGCCCCGGUGUGUUUGUGAUGGGGGCGACAUGGGUUCGACUGGGCGCAAUAAAGGCUAGGCUGCGAUUAGGCUGAGCUACGGCCUUGAUAGUGCAAAACUCAUAAAUGCCAACGAUAACGUUGACAUGGGUGCAGUGCGCCUCGCGGCGUAACCAUCCGGGGCUCGGGAAAGCCUAGCAACAGAAACGGCACCUU